AGAGUUUGAUCCUGGCUCAGGACGAACGCUGGCGGCGUGCCUAACACAUGCAAGUCGAACGAGAAUCUUUGAAAUGAUUUCUUCGGAAUGAAUUUUAGAGAGGAAAGUGGCGGACGGGCGAGUAACGCGUGAGUAACCUGCCCAUAAGAGGGGGAUAAUCCAUGGAAACGUGGACUAAUACCGCAUAUUGUCAUUUUAUCGCAUGAUUUAAUGAUGAAAGAUUUAUCGCUUAUGGAUGGACUCGCGUCAGAUUAGAUAGUUGGUGAGGUAACGGCUCACCAAGUCGACGAUCUGUAGCCGAACUGAGAGGUUGAUCGGCCGCAUUGGGACUGAGACACGGCCCAGACUCCUACGGGAGGCAGCAGUGGGGAAUAUUGCGCAAUGGGGGCAACCCUGACGCAGCAACGCCGCGUGCAGGAAGAAGGUCUUCGGAUUGUAGACUGUUGUCGCAAGGGAAGAAGACAGUGACGGUACCUUGUGAGAAAGUCACGGCUAACUACGUGCCAGCAGCCGCGGUAAUACGUAGGUGACGAGCGUUGUCCGGAUUUACUGGGUGUAAAGGGCGCGUAGGCGGACUGUCAAGUCAGUCGUGAAAUACCGGGGCUUAACCCCGGGGCUGCGAUUGAAACUGAUAGCCUUGAGUAUCGGAGAGGAAAGCGGAAUUCCUAGUGUAGCGGUGAAAUGCGUAGAUAUUAGGAGGAACACCAGUGGCGAAGGCGGCUUUCUGGACGACAACUGACGCUGAGGCGCGAAAGUGUGGGGAGCAAACAGGAUUAGAUACCCUGGUAGUCCACACCGUAAACGAUGGAUACUAGGUGUAGGAGGUAUCGACCCCUUCUGUGCCGCAGUUAACACA
rnacentral:rRNA from 1 species